AUUGAACGCUGGCGGCAGGCCUAACACAUGCAGGUCGAGCGGAUGAAGGGAGCUUGCUCCUGGAUUCAGCGGCGGACGGGUGAGUAAUGCCUAGGAAUCUGCCUGGUAGUGGGGGAUAACGUCCGGAAACGGGCGCUAAUACCGCAUACGUCCUGAGGGAGAAAGUGGGGGAUCUUCGGACCUCACGCUAUCAGAUGAGCCUAGGUCGGAUUAGCUAGUUGGUGGGGUAAAGGCCUACCAAGGCGACGAUCCGUAACUGGUCUGAGAGGAUGAUCAGUCACACUGGAACUGAGACACGGUCCAGACUCCUACGAGAGGCAGCAGUGGGGAAUAUUGGACAAUGGGCGAAAGCCUGAUCCAGCCAUGCCGCGUGUGUGAAGAAGGUCUUCGGAUUGUAAAGCACUUUAAGUUGGGAGGAAGGGCAGUAAGUUAAUACCUUGCUGUUUUGACGUUACCAACAGAAUAAGCACCGGCUAACUUCGUG
rnacentral:rRNA from 1 species